rnacentral:rRNA from 1 species
AGUGAACGCUGGCGGCAGGCCUAACACAUGCAAGUCGAGCGGAUGAAGGGAGCGUGCUCCUGGAUUCAGCGGCGGACUGGCGGGUAAUGCCGAGGAAUCUGCCUGGCAGCUGUGGAUAACGUCCGAAAACGGGCGCUAAUACCGUAUAAGUCCUUAGGGAGAAAGGGUGGGAGCUUCGGACCUUAGGCCAUCACGCGAUCCUAGGUCGGAUUAGCUAGUUGGUGGGGUAAAGGCCUACCAAGGCGACGAUCCGUAACUGGUCUGAGAGGAUGAUCAGUCACACUGGAACUGAGACACGGUCCAGACUCCUACGGGAGGCAGCAGUGGGGAAUAUUGGACAAUGGGCGAAAGCCUGAUCCAGCCAUGCCGCGUGUGUGAAGAAGGUCUUCGGAUUGUAAAGCACUUUAAGUUGGGAGGAAGGGCAGUAAGUUAAUACCUUGCUGUUUUGACGUUACCAACAGAAUAAGCACCGGCUAACUUCGUG